UGAGGAAUAUUGCGCAAUGGGGGCAACCCUGACGCAGCAACGCCGCGUGAGUGAGGAAGGUUUUCGGACCGUAAAGCUCUGUCGAGCGGGAAGAAAUGCAUGGUGGCUAAUAUCCAUCAUGCUUGACGGUACCGCUAAAGGAAGCACCGGCUAACUCCGUGCCAGCAGCCGCGGUAAUACGGGGGGUGCAAGCGGUGUUCGGAAUUAUUGGGCGUAAAGAGCGUGUAGGCGGCUGGAUAAGUCAGAUGUGAAAUCCCUGGGCUUAACUCAGGAAGUGCAUUUGAAACUAUUCAGCUUGAGUAAGGGAGAGGAAAGUGGAAUUCCUGGUGUAGAGGUGAAAUUCGUAGAUAUCAGGAGGAACACCGGUGGCGAAGGCGACUUUCUGGCCCUAUACUGACGCUGAGACGCGAGAGCGUGGGUAGCAAACA
rnacentral:rRNA from 1 species